rnacentral:rRNA from 1 species
CGUAGGCGGUCUGUCGCGUCGGCUGUGAAAACCCGAGGCUCAACCUCGGGCCUGCAGUCGAUACGGGCAAACUAGAGUACUGCAGGGGAGACUGGAAUUCCUGGUGUAGCGGUGAAAUGCGCAGAUAUCAGGAGGAACACCGGUGGCGAAGGCGGGUCUCUGGGCAGUAACUGACGCUGAGGAGCGAAAGCGUGGGGAGCGA